rnacentral:lncRNA from 1 species
GAGUGUGUCUGUCAGUAUGUGCGUGUGUGCAUGUGAGUACGUGUCUGUCAGUGUCUGUGAGUUUGUGUGUGUGUGUGUCAGUGUGUGUUUGUCAAUGAGUCUGUCAGUGUGCGUGUGAGUGUCUGUCAAUGAAUGAGUGUGUCAGAUAAGUGAGUCUGGCUGUCAGAGAUGUCUGUGUGUUUGUCAUUGAGCGUGUGUGACUGUCAGUGUUUAUACACCCCUGACUGUAGCGUGGCCAAGCGGAGUGUACCGUGGUACAGGAACUUCUGUUUCCUGUACCUGGC